rnacentral:rRNA from 1 species
GGAAAAGGAUGUGGCGUUGCCCAGACAACUAGGAUGUUGGCUUAGAAGCAGCCAUCAUUUAAAGAGUGCGUAAUAGCUCACUAGUCGAGUGACACUGCGCCGAAAAUGUACCGGGGCUAAACAUAUUACCGAAGCUGUGGAUUGUCCUUUGGACAAUGGUAGGAGAGCGUUCUAAGGGCGUUGAAGCAUGAUCGUAAGGACAUGUGGAGCGCUUAGAAGUGAGAAUGCCGGUGUGAGUAGCGAAAGACGGGUGAGAAUCCCGUCCACCGAUUGACUAAGGUUUCCAGAGGAAGGCUCGUCCGCUCUGGGUUAGUCGGGUCCUAAGCUGAGGCCGACAGGCGUAGGCGAUGGAUAACAGGUUGAUAUUCCUGUACCACCUAUAAUCGUUUUAAUCGAUGGGGGGACGCAGUAGGAUAGGCGAAGCGUGCGAUUGGAUUGCACGUCUAAGCAGUAAGGCUGAGUAUUAGGCAAAUCCGGUACUCGUUAAGGCUGAGCUGUGAUGGGGAGAAGACAUUGUGUCUUCGAGUCGUUGAUUUCACACUGCCGAGAAAAGCCUCUAGAUAGAAAAUAGGUGCCCGUACCGCAAACCGACACAGGUAGUCAAGAUGAGAAUUCUAAGGUGAGCGAGCGAACUCUCGUUAAGGAACUCGGCAAAAUGACCCCGUAACUUCGGGAGAAGGGGUGCUCUUUAGGGUUAACGCCCAGAAGAGCCGCAGUGAAUAGGCCCAAGCGACUGUUUAUCAAAAACACAGGUCUCUGCUAAACCGUAAGGUGAUGUAUAGGGGCUGACGCCUGCCCGGUGCUGGAAGGUUAAGAGGAGUGGUUAGCUUCUGCGAAGCUACGAAUCGAAGCCCCAGUAAACGGCGGCCGUAACUAUAACGGUCCUAAGGUAGCGAAAUUCCUUGUCGGGUAAGUUCCGACCCGCACGAAAGGCGUAACGAUUUGGGCACUGUCUCAACGAGAGACUCGGUGAAAUCAUAGUACCUGUGAAGAUGCAG